AAACCAUGCACCGAAGCUACGGGUAUCACCUUUGGUGAUGCGGUAGAGGAGCGUUCUGUAAGCCUGUGAAGGUGAGUUGAGAAGCUUGCUGGAGGUAUCAGAAGUGCGAAUGCUGACAUGAGUAACGACAAUGGGUGUGAAAAACACCCACGCCGAAAGACCAAGGUUUCCUGCGCAACGUUAAUCGACGCAGGGUUAGUCGGUCCCUAAGGCGAGGCUGAAAAGCGUAGUCGAUGGAAAACAGGUUAAUAUUCCUGUACUUCUGGUUAUUGCGAUGGAGGGACGGAGAAGGCUAGGCCAGCCUGGCGUUGGUAGUCCAGGUUUAAGGUGGUAGGCUGAGAUCUUAGGUAAAUCCGGGAUCUUAAGGCCGAGAGCUGAUGACGAGUGUUCUUUUAGAACAUGAAGUGGUUGAUGCCAUGCUUCCAAGAAAAGCUUCUAAGCUUCAGGUAACCAGGAACCGUACCCCAAACCGACACAGGUGGUUGGGUAGAGAAUACCAAGGCGCUUGAGAGAACUCGGGUGAAGGAACUAGGCAAAAUGGCACCGUAACUUCGGGAGAAGGUGCGCCGGUGAGGGUGAAGCAUUUACUGCGUAAGCCCACGCCGGUCGAAGAUACCAGGCCGCUGCGACUGUUUAUUAAAAACACAGCACUCUGCAAACACGAAAGUGGACGUAUAGGGUGUGACGCCUGCCCGGUGCCGGAAGGUUAAUUGAUGGGGUUAGCGCAAGCGAAGCUCUUGAUCGAAGCCCCGGUAAACGGCGGCCGUAACUAUAACGGUCCUAAGGUAGCGAAAUUCCUUGUCGGGUAAGUUCCGACCUGCACGAAUGGCGUAACGAUGGCGGCGCUGUCUCCACCCGAGACUCAGUGAAAUUGAAAUCGCUGUGAAGAUGCAGUGUAUCCGCGGCUAGACGGAAAGACCCCGUGAACCUUUACUAUAGCUUUGCACUGGACUUUGAAUUUGCUUGUGUAGGAUAGGUGGGAGGCUUUGAAGCGUGGACGCCAGUCUGCGUGGAGCCAACCUUGAAAUACCACCCUGGCAACUUUGAGGUUCUAACUCAGGUCCGUUAUCCGGAUCGAGGACAGUGUAUGGUGGGUAGUUUGACUGGGGCGGUCUCCUCCUAAAGAGUAACGGAGGAGUACGAAGGUGCGCUCAGACCGGUCGGAAAUCGGUCGUAGAGUAUAAAGGCAAAAGCGCGCUUGAC
rnacentral:rRNA from 1 species